rnacentral:rRNA from 1 species
UACGUAGGGUGCAAGCGUUAUCCGGAAUUAUUGGGCGUAAAGAGCUCGUAGGCGGUCUGUCGCGUCGGCUGUGAAAACCCGGGGCUCAACCCCGGGCCUGCAGUCGAUACGGGCAGACUAGAGUGUGGUAGGGGAGACUGGAAUUCCUGGUGUAGCGGUGAAAUGCGCAGAUAUCAGGAGGAACACCCGUAGCGCAGGCGGCACUCUGGGCCGAUACUGACACUGAGGAGCGAAAGCGUGGGGAGCGAACAGG